AGAAUCAACGCUGGCGGCGUGCCUAACACAUGCAAGUCGAACGAGAAAGGGUAGCAAUACCUGAGUAAAGUGGCGCACGGGUGAGUAACACGUGACUAACCUACCUUUUAGUGGGGGAUAACCUAGGGAAACCUGGGCUAAUACCGCAUAAUACCUACGGGUCAAAGCAGCAAUGCGCUGAUAGAGGGGGUCGCGGCCGAUUAGCUAGUUGGCGGGGUAAUGGCCCACCAAGGCAGUGAUCGGUA
rnacentral:rRNA from 1 species